rnacentral:rRNA from 1 species
AGUCGAACGGAACUGUUUUGAAAGAUUUCUUCGGAAUGAAUUUGAUUUAGUUUAGUGGCGGACGGGUGAGUAACGCGUGAGUAACCUGCCUUCAAGAGGGGGAUAACAUUCUGAAAAGAAUGCUAAUACCGCAUGACAUAUCGGAAUCACAUGAUUUUGAUAUCAAAGAUUUUAUCGCUUGAAGAUGGACUCGCGUCCGAUUAGUUAGUUGGUGAGGUAACGGCUCACCAAGACCGCGAUCGGUAGCCGGACUGAGAGGUUGAACGGCCACAUUGGGACUGAGACACGGCCCAGACUCCUACGGGAGGCAGCAGUGGGGGAUAUUGCGCAAUGGGGGCAACCCUGACGCAGCAACGCCGCGUGAAGGAUGAAGGUUUUCGGAUUGUAAACUUCUUUUAUUAAGGACGAAAAAUGACGGUACUUAAUGAAUAAGCUCCGGCUAACUACGUGCCAGCAGCCGCGGUAAUACGUAGGGAGCAAGCGUUGUCCGGAUUUACUGGGUGUAAAGGGUGCGUAGGCGGCUUUGCAAGUCAGAUGUGAAAUCUAUGGGCUCAACCCAUAAACUGCAUUUGAAACUGUAGAGCUUGAGUGAAGUAGAGGCAGGCGGAAUUCCCCGUGUAGCGGUGAAAUGCGUAGAGAUGGGGAGGAACACCAGUGGCGAAGGCGGCCUGCUGGGCUUUAACUGACGCUGAGGCACGAAAGCGUGGGUAGCAAACAGGAUUAGAUACCCUGGUAGUCCACGCUGUAAACGAUGAUUACUAGGUGUGGGGGGUCUGACCCCUUCCGUGCCGGAGUUAACACAAUAAGUAAUCCACCUGGGGAGUACGGCCGCAAGGUUGAA